CUAUUGAACGGGAGUGUAUUUGUCACGGGAAUCUCAGUGGGCUCCACACAGCUUCCAACAACAACACGGGCACAGGUAAUCCGCUUCUCCCAACGUGCACCAUCGCGGCGCACGUUUACCUCGUUCUCUCGUCGUUUUGAAGAACCCCAAAACUAUCCUCCCUUCCGAUUUGUCCACCAUCCUGCCUUGUCCCUCUUCUCUCCUCCCUCGCUGUAAAGUAACGGCGAAAAAAAAAAAUGCCUACUUCUCUUCUAUCCUACCGACCUCUUCUAUUCUCUCCCUUGAGACCCUGGAUUACGCUCCAGCAUCAUCGAAAUCACUACGGCUUCUUUAAGCAGAGACUACCGCUUGUUGGUAGCAGUCACGUGGUCCGAAUCGGUAGAAAUCCUGAGAGUGUUGGAGAUUUGAUUGGGGAGCUGUUUGGUCGAGCCCAAGGCCUUGUUUAUACUACGAUUGCGGAUGUGGCGGAUGCCUCCUCCGACUCUUCUUCGAAUUUGGCAAAAUCAAACUUAGAUUGGCUUUCUGGGAUUACGAAUUAUCUGGAGACUGUUCUCAAGGUUUUGAAAGAUGGGCUUUCGGCUUUGCAUGUUCCGUAUGCUUAUGGUUUUGCAAUUAUUCUCCUCACUGUCCUUGUUAAGGCUGUCACGUUUCCUUUGACAAAGAAACAGGUUGAGUCUGCAAUGGCAAUGCGAUCUCUGCAGCCUCAGAUACGGGCUAUCCAACAACGCUAUGCGGGAGAUCAGGAAAAAAUACAACUCGAAACUGCUCGCCUAUAUAAACUAGCUGGUGUAAACCCAUUGGCAGGAUGCCUUCCUACUCUUGCAACAAUACCAAUUUGGAUUGGACUCUAUAGGGCUCUUUCAAAUGUGGCAGAUGAGGGACUCCUUAUGGAAGGCUUCUUCUGGAUACCGUCUCUAUCUGGUCCUACCACUAUUGCCGCUCGACAAAGUGGUAGUGGGAUCUCUUGGCUUCUUCCUUUUGUAGAUGAUCAUCCUCCACUAGGAUGGUUAGAUACCUUUGCGUAUCUUGUCUUACCUGUGCUGCUUGUUGUCUCACAGUAUGUUUCUAUUCAAAUCAUGCAGUCUUCACAGGGUAAUGAUCCUAACCAAAAGGGUUCUCAAGCUCUAACUAGGUUCCUCCCCUUGAUGAUUGGUUAUUUUGCUCUCUCGGUUCCUUCUGGGUUAAGUCUUUACUGGUUGACGAAUAACAUUUUGAGCACGGGACAACAGAUAUGGCUUCAAAAGCUAGGUGGUGCAAAAAACCCAGUUAGGAAAUAUAGUGAGGGAACCAUAACAGAACAACCCCAAAUGCAGAAGCCUGCUAUUGACAUUGAUGCUAACAUAUUGGAACCAAACCAAAGAGAAAAAUCAACUUCAGGAGGGCUACGCCCUGGAGAAAGGUUUAAACAGAUAAAGGAGCAAGAAGCAAGGAGAAGACAGCAAAGGGAACCAGAAAAGAGGAAAGCAGAAGAGGCAGCUAAAGGAGGUGAUGUACGGAAUGUGGAACAUAAGCAAGAAUCGGAGUUUCUCAAGAUUAAAGAUAGCACCGAAGCUGGAUUUGUUGCAGUUGAAGAUGAAAAUAUAGUGCAGACUGUGACUUUCAUACAUGAUUCUACUGAUCCUGGAGCCCCUUUAGUGAAUGCCAGUCAGUCUACACAGGACUCAAAAGAAGAUCGGUCAGGGAUAGGUGUACCUGAGGUGAGAAAUGGUGGAGCUACUUGUAAUGGCAGCAUUGGGAUGAAGGAUGAACAGAAUUCACAAGAAAAUCUCUAGAAGUGUAAUGGAGUUUUUUAACUGACUAGGAAGCAUUACUUGCAUGCUGAUGCUGUCAUUCCCAGGAACAAGAGGCAUGAUAUUUACGCCCUCCCAACAGCAAGGAUGAAUCUCCUGGAGAUGAAGAGAAUAAGCAACCAAGAGAGUUAAAAAGCUAAAAAAUUAUUGCAUUGAGGAUUGGUUGCAGGGCCCUCCUCGCUCUCUCUCU